GGAUGCGAUCAUACCAGCACUAAUGCACCGGAUCCCAUCAGAACUCCGCAGUUAAGCGUGCUUGGGCGAGAGUAGUACUAGGAUGGGUGACC
rnacentral:rRNA from 1 species